rnacentral:snRNA from 1 species
UUCCCUCCGAAGUUUCCCU